rnacentral:tRNA from 1 species
GCCUGGGUGGCUCAGUCAGUUAAGCGUCUGACUUCGGCUCAGGUCAUGAUCUCAUGGUUUGUGAGUUCGAGCCCUGCCUUGGGCU